rnacentral:rRNA from 1 species
GAUGAACGCUGGCGGCGUGCCUAAUACAUGCAAGUCGAGCGAACAGACGAGGAGCUUGCUCCUCUGACGUUAGCGGCGGACGGGUGAGUAACACGUGGAUAACCUACCUAUAAGACUGGGAUAACUUCGGGAAACCGGAGCUAAUACCGGAUAAUAUAUUGAACCGCAUGGUUCAAUAGUGAAAGACGGUUUUGCUGUCACUUAUAGAUGGAUCCGCGCCGCAUUAGCUAGUUGGUAAGGUAACGGCUUACCAAGGCAACGAUGCGUAGCCGACCUGAGAGGGUGAUCGGCCACACUGGAACUGAGACACGGUGCAGACUCCUAAGGGAGGCAGCAGUAGGGAAUCUUCCGCAAUGGGCGAAAGCUUGACGGAGCAACGCCGCGUGAGUGAUGAAGGUCUUCGGAUCGUAAAACUCUGUUAUUAGGGAAGAACAAAUGUGUAAGUAACUAUGCACGUCUUGACGGUACCUAAUCAGAAAGCCACGGCUAACUACGUG